rnacentral:rRNA from 1 species
CCCUCCGUAGGUGAACCUGCGGAGGGAUCAUUACCGAGUUUACAACUCCCAAACCCCUGUGAACAUACCACUUGUUGCCUCGGCGGAUCAGCCCGCUCCCGGUAAAACGGGACGGCCCGCCAGAGGACCCCUAAACUCUGUUUCUAUAUGUAACUUCUGAGUAAAACCAUAAAUAAAUCAAAACUUUCAACAACGGAUCUCUUGGUUCUGGCAUCGAUGAAGAACGCAGCAAAAUGCGAUAAGUAAUGUGAAUUGCAGAAUUCAGUGAAUCAUCGAAUCUUUGAACGCACAUUGCGCCCGCCAGUAUUCUGGCGGGCAUGCCUGUUCGAGCGUCAUUUCAACCCUCAAGCACAGCUUGGUGUUGGGACUCGCGUUAAUUCGCGUUCCUCAAAUUGAUUGGCGGUCACGUCGAGCUUCCAUAGCGUAGUAGUAAAACCCUCGUUACUGGUAAUCGUCGCGGCCCACGCCGUUAAACCCCCAACUUCUGAAUUUGAUCGGUAUCAGG